rnacentral:rRNA from 1 species
UACGUAGGGAGCGAGCGUUGUCCGGAUUCAUUGGGCGUAAAGAGCUCGUAGGCGGCUUGGCAAGUCGGGUGUGAAAACUCCAGGCUCAACCUGGAGACGCCACCCGAUACUGCCAUGGCUAGAGUCCGGUAGGGGACCACGGAAUUCCUGGUGUAGCGGUGAAAUGCGCAGAUAUCAGGAGGAACACCUGUGGCGAAAGCGGCUCACUGGACCACAACUGACGCUGAUGCACGAAAGCUAGGGGAGCAAACAGG